rnacentral:rRNA from 1 species
GAUGAACGCUGGCGGCGUGCCUAACACAUGCAAGUCGAACGGAGUCCAGCCUUUAAGACCUUCGGGUCAAAGAGGGGAAGACUGAGUGGCGGACGGGUGAGUAACACGUGGGCAACCUGGCUCAUAGAGGGGGAUAACAGAGAGAAAUUUCUGCUAAUACCGCAUAAGCACACACUGCCGCAUGGCAGAGGGUGAAAAGAGAAUCGCUAUGAGAUGGACCCGCGUCUGAUUAGCCAGUUGGCAGGGUAAGAGCCUACCAAAGCGACGAUCAGUAGCCGAUCUGAGAGGAUGAACGGCCACAUUGGGACUGAGACACGGCCCAAACUCCUACGGGAGGCAGCAGUGGGGGAUAUUGCACAAUGGGGGGAACCCUGAUGCAGCGACGCCGCGUAAGUGAAGAAGUAUUUCGGUAUGUAAAGCUCUAUCAGCAGGGAAGAUAAUGACAGUACCUGAAGAAGAAGCCCCGGCUAACUACGUG